ACAGAUCGUUCAGAGUUUGAUCCUGGCUCAGGACGAACGCUGGCGGCAUGCCUAACACAUGCAAGUCGAACGGAACUUGUUGAAUGAAGUUUUCGGAUGGAUUUUAGCAAGUUUAGUGGCGGACGGGUGAGUAACGCGUGAGCAACCUGCCUUUCAGAGGGGGACAACAGUUGGAAACGACUGCUAAUACCGCAUGAUGUGUCGGGAUCGCAUGAUCCUGACACCAAAGAUUUUAUCGCUGAAAGAUGGGCUCGCGUACGAUUAGAUAGUUGGUGAGGUAACGGCUCACCAAGUCGACGAUCGUUAGCCGGACGGAGAGGUUGAACGGCCACAUUGGGACUGAGACACGGCCCAG
rnacentral:rRNA from 1 species